rnacentral:lncRNA from 1 species
AGACCAAAGAAACUGCUGCCCUUCCUAUAAUCACAGGGACUGUUUCAAAGAAACAGCAAUGCAGCCUUUGGCACAAGACUUUCUUCAUUGGUGGAGGAUGAUUAAUCAAUGCACCUCAUUUGACCAGGGAUCAGCACUUGGGAAGAAAAGGUCUUGGUCUUCUAAGAACCAGCUUUGAGAGAGAAGACACACAGUUCCAGAUUCUCUUGAUUUCAAAGGUGAUCUAUAUAUGCCCCAAAGUCCUGUUACAACUGUGUUGUAGUUCUUCAUAUUGAAAAUAUUGUAAAUGUUGUUUGGAUCUGCUUUUCUGAUGGGAGUGAUGAGGAAAUAAUCAUCUGAUCUUUAUGAGUGGUUGGAAGAAAGGCAGAGGGAACAAGAGAAUAUAGAACUGAAAAUAAAAUAAAAUUUUGAAGAAAUGUUAAUAAAAUAAAAAAAAUUAAACCA